CUUCAAUGAUCCCUUUCCUGGUCCCUGCCAGACAGUCUCGGCUGCAGUUGGAGAAGGGCACCUGGAGGACGGACAGCACAAAGGUCCAAGCUCUGGUCUUGACCAUCUGAAUUGUAUUUCCUUAUCUGGAAGAGGAGCCAUUGAAGGGUAGAACUGACAAGUUUCCCCCUUGAAACCUGUUUUUCCUUCAACCCUACCCUUGUCUUGAAGUUUUUUCGAGUUGGGGUCCUCCUUGCACUGGACAUGAAAGCAAAUUGCUAUAUAAGUGAAGGACGCACCUGCCACGCCUCAACUUUCUUGAUGUCUGCACAGGAGCCGUUGGUGAAGAGCCCUCUCCCAGGGCGAGGGACAAGACAGCUAGGAGUUUGGAGGCUCCCAGAAGUUUUCUCCCUUGGAGCAGUUCACUCCCUGCAGUGGGGACACAUGUCUACAGAGUGAUUAAUAAAAGAAUAGAAGAAGUGGUGUUUGAAUCUCCAUUUCUGCCUUCUUCAUUGCAGACUUGUAAGAUACAUCUUGGAAGAAGAAAUGACCCGUGCACCAGGUGGUUUUAUGUUUAAAAGGUUCUUGACAUCAGGAGGAGUGUUUCAGUAUGGACAGAUAAUGGCUUACUAGGCUCUUCAGCCAAGGAUCGGAGAUGGAAGAUGAGGGCAGACUGGUCAAUGUGUUCCAUGGGUUCAUGAAGUUACAAAUUCAUGCAAUGAUUUACUCAUUCAAAAACCAUUUAUUGAGCUCUCUAUGUGCUAGAUACUAGGGAGUGCAAGACACUAGGGAAAGAAAGUUGAAAUUUUUGCCUUCAAGGUGCUCAUGGUUUAAAAAGAGACAGAAAGGUGUAUUAUAAGGACGGUGAUCUAAAUGCUAUAAAGAGGCAUGGAUUAAGUAUUGAGGGAGCACAGAGCAAAGAGUGAUAUUCUUUGUCUGGUGAUUGCUGGGAAAGAGAAUUAAGUCAAGACAGGGAUCAGAAACUUCAUGAGGCCAAGGCCUGUCUCUUUUCUUCACCAUUGCUGCCUAGCACCCAGCACAGCACCUGGCACAAAUGAUUCACAAAUAUUUGUUGAAUAAAUGUAUGAAGUGUGCCCAGUAAAGAAGAGAGGCUGGUUGGGCAAUUCCUGGACAGGACAGGGAAGGGGUCACCCCACAAGACUGACGGUUCCUGUAGGCAGAGGCUUCUCCAUGAUCACAGCUGCAUCCUCAGCAUCAAACAAAGAACCUGGUACUAAAUGGAUGCUCUAAAAAUGUCUGUUGAACUUGCUGUUCCAAGAGUAGGUAUGUGGCUAAUCCAAGUUCCGCAGUCAAGACAAGUUAACAGAGGAUAGCAAAACAACGUUAGGAGUGAACACUACCACGUUUCAAUUUUCUUCCAAAUAAAAACCACCCCUACUCUCACCUCUUGGCCUCAACAUUUCUGGAAAUUGUGAAUCUCUAGAGCAGAAUGAUUUUGCUCACAUUUCAAAUAGAGAAAAUGCAGGUGCAGACCUUCUGAACAUAAAAUCACUCAGUAAAUUAAAGGCACAGUAAGCUCAAAGGCUACUACUUCUGAAUUCCUAGAUUGCAGGAAAAAAAUUCUAGGUUGCCUAGGAAAAAGACAGUUAUAAGACCAAAUUUGAUUUCCAGAAGAAUUUAUCUUCAUAAGGACUGAGUGAGUUGCUGAGGACACAGCCCACAGGAAAUUAAGAAACUUCUGGUCCUGAAUUGUUUCCUUCAUGCCUUCAGUCAGCUCUGCUGAUGGAUGUAUGAACACCAACAGAGUUAAUGAAGUGGUUCAUUUGAAAAGCGAAGAUAUGCAACUCAUGUUUUUAUAAACAAAAAUGCCAGAGCCUCAAGUCCUACAUAAAAGAAACAUUUCUGUGGAAUAACGUCCUGGGAUUGCCUCUCCAAAUCAUAAGGAACCCUGACUACCCAGUCUGAUGUCCCAAGAUGUGUCACUAGGAAGUGUUCUGGGGUAAAACAAGUUUGGGAACUAAUGUACACUCUGCCACAGGGGCACAUAUGCUUCCUUAAAGGCUCUGAGAAGUCCCACAAUAAAGAUUAUUGCUUAUUUUGGUAUGGGACAUUUCUUUUCUUCUCUGAAGGACACUUUUCAUGAUGCUGUGAAACACGGGCUUGGAAGUGCUGACUGAGUGGAAAGCAUAAAGUUUGUAACCUGAGAUUCUCCCAUUUGUUUAGGUGUAUCUUUGAAUGGGGAGAUAUGUCUGCCCCUCAAUGGGCAUAGCAAUUUUUGUAAUCCCAGGUAUGAAAUUCCAAAGGGUAUUAUUGGAAAGAAGGACUCAGGUGGGGUGGGUGACUGCUGAUGUAACUUUUAAAUCAUUCUCUGGUCUCGGGCAUACGUUUCUGUUCUCUUCUACUCCGGAGGGAUGGGUUUCUAUCGUACAUAGAAAGUUGUACACUGAGCCUUUCCCCAACCACUUGCAACUCUCCUGACCUCAUACAGUGUCUCUGUCUGAGGACCACCGGGGACAUGUGGUGGUGUGCUGGCAAACUGGCUUCUAAAAGAAAAACAAGUCCUGACUUGCAGUGUUUGCUAAAUAUUCCCACUAUGGUCAAUUUCAAGCUAUCAAUGGUUUAACAACAUAUUUGUAAAAAUUCUGGAUAUUUAACCAUUGACUCUCAAGAGCUGAUAGAAGCUGUUCUAACACAUCAUGGGGACAUCUUUCUAAGCACACAGAAAUUCUCGUUUUCUUUGGAAAACCUGACCA